rnacentral:rRNA from 1 species
UACAGAGGGUGCAAGCGUUUGUUCGGAAUUAUUGGGCGUAAAGCGCGUGUAGGCGGCUUGUUAAGUCGGGUGUGAAAGCCCUCAGCUCAACUGAGGAAGUGCGCCCGAAACUGGCGAGCUUGAGUGUCGGAGAGGAUGGCGGAAUACCCCAAGUAGAGGUGAAAUUCGUAGAUAUGGGGUGGAACACCGGUGGCGAAGGCGGCCAUCUGGACGACAACUGACGCUGAGACGCGAAAGCGUGGGGAGCAAACAGG